AUUGAACGCUUGGCGGCAUGCCUUACACAUGCAAGUCGAACGGCAGCACGGGGGCAACCCUGGUGGCGAGUGGCGAACGGGUGAGUAACAUAUCGGAACAUACCCUAGAGUGGGGGAUAACGUAGCGAAAGUUACGCUAAUACCGCAUACGAUCUAAGGAUGAAAGUGGGGGAUCUUCGGACCUCAUGCUCAUGGAGUGCCGAUAUCUGAUUAGCUAGUUGGUGAGGUUAAAGGCUCACCAAGGCGACGAUCAGUAGACUGGUUUGAGAGAACGACCAGCCACACUGGAACUGAGACACGGUCCAGACUCCUACGGAGGCAGCAGUGGGGAAUUUU
rnacentral:rRNA from 1 species